GUGCUGUGAUGAUACUAAAUUGUGGUUUCAACUUAACUGAUAGUUGAAUGAGGACAUCUAAUUCCUUGGCUGUGUCUGAGCAU
ensembl:snoRNA SNORD92 small nucleolar RNA, C/D box 92